GUAUCGGAGAUUCAGUUAAUAUAAUAUUUCUUUGUUAGCUACAUGAAGUUUCUGAUCAAAUCAUUAAUUGACACUCUUUUAUAAUUAUUCUACUAUGGAAAUGUGGCCUAAUUCCCCUAUUCUAAUGAACUUCCCAAAUUAUGUCCUGCUUACUAUCUCAUGCAAUAGUAGUAUGUGUGAGGCCUGGUAAGUUCUGCGUAGUUAUUUUAACAGUUACUUCAGCAAUAUGAGACA
rnacentral:lncRNA from 1 species